CAGAGGAGGAAUGCUGAACUGACAGCUGGAUAUGUGACUGGUGCCAGUGAGCGCGUCAGCCUGUUCUUCUAACCAACGGAUAUUCCCCUGAAAGUUUCCCUUAACGGGUCUCGAAACUGACUGCAAAUGCCCAUGGUUUUCCAGCGCAAAGAAACAGCCAGCGACGACAUCGACACUAUCCAAAACAGCGGAAAGAAACAAUCAACUUUGUUGAGGAGGCGUCAGUACUUCACUCAGCAAAAGACCUUAACAUUAACAUAGUAUAUGAAGUGUACAAGUGACCCUUCUUAAGUGAGUUUUACAUUACAUUUAGAUUACCGAUAAAUGUUGCUGUCUCUGAGCUGUUCAGUCACUUCAUCCUCUCACAAUAGCCCAAGCAAUUUCUUCCACAGAGACGUUGUUCACAUAACAUGAACCUGCUCUGCGUCCUAUUGACAAAUCUCUCAUUAUCCACUGAUAUUGCCGCUACGUCCACCACUCCAUUGCACAGCGCACUGGUGUUCGGUACCUCCAGUGACAUCACAGUCACCCAGCCCCGGUUUGUUUCGUCUUAUGAUCAUAUUUAGUAUUAAGUAAAACCUACGGCUGUCUUCCGUGUGUAAGGUCUGAAAAUGAAAAUGUGUUCAUGUUUUAAGCAUAUUAUUUGUGUCAUUCUAACAAACUACGUUAAAUGCGAUGUCCUUUGUCAUGUGUGGUCCCUUAUUUUUAACUGCUUUACUAGUUUGAAUCCACAUUCAGAUAGGAACAGCCAGUCUAACUUCAUGGAAUCCUGAACCUCCCGUGCGCCGAUGACUGAAAGAUCCCACGACCUUGUAACAUCUUCUUUAUCAAAGCCGACAUCUUUUAUUCCGACCGUCAAGGGUGCAUGAUGAAAGUAUUGUCAUAAUCAAGACAUCUAAAGAAAAAUUCCAUUGUGGCUGCCAUUGCCUUUUCAGCCUCAUGGCAUGUUGAGGAAACAACUUUUCAUAAGCUGCGAGAGAAUGACGGAUGAGCGCAACGUUUGCAAUAGUGAGACAGAUGCAAUCUUGUAAAUUGAGCAAAGACUCUCUGAUCUCCCUGAGGAGAUAUCAAACCAUAGUCUUACAUCGGAACUCACCAUGCUCCUGUGUUUUUGUCACAACAAGAAAAGCAUCACAGACGGAUGAGCCCCACUGUGUACGGUGUGUACAACCGGCUGUUUGGGCUAAUAGCUGUGAAUCAUCCGGGACAUUAUCUGGAUUUGCAGCGCUAUCAUAGAAGGUGAACGUGGCGGAUGCUCCCACGCGAGUCCAUCACCGUCAGCAUUAGGUCGUUGGUGUCGUUGUGUGGCCUCGUCCAAAUGUGAUGCGGAGGACAGAUCUGGGUCAUGUUCACAUCUCGCAGAGGAAAAGAAAGGCAUGACAGUACAAAGGGAAGUAGAAAGUCAGAAAGUAUGCUCUUGACUGGCUUCAGCUGUCAAUCAACAGCAAGCAGGAAAUGAGGUUUGUGGUUGGCUGGUCUCACCAGUACAUGGAAGGGCAAGCUGACGUUUUCAAGUGCCUCACCAUGCAGAACAAGAGGGUAGAAUCUAUAGAGUUGGUUUAGCAGUAUGAAGGCAGGCAUGGCAGGAUCUCCCAUGCUUACUUCUAUGAUUUUUUGAUUGAAAGACACUAUGGAAGACUAUGGAAGAUUUAAAGACACUAUGGAAGAAUUAUUUAUUUUAAAACAUGCUGCACAUGCUAAAUGUAAUGCAAGAGCUUUUAUAUAUGUUAAAUUUGUUAUCAUUUUCCAGUACAUUGUCUGUCUUGCUGUGAUGUAAAUAGUAAUAAUGAAUUGUUAAAAUGGUAAGUAAGGUUUCUUUUCAAUUUAUAAGGGGCUUUAUAAGGGGAGUUAUUGGCAGAGGUUGACAGGUAUGUCCAUGUGCCAUCAAACAGAAAUAAGUAGAUCAAGUUUUCCUGUAACACAGUGUAACAAGUGGCUUCUUCAAAAGAGAAUCAAAGAAUCUCCUCAUGAAUGUGGUGCAGUGGUGUCCAUCCAGCGCUGAUCCAGGGCCCAGCUUGUCAUCGCUGGGCCACCACGAGGCUCGCUGAGGAGAGACUCUAAGUUUUGAGAUCAAAGAGAAGGGAAACAGGACAGUUUUGAAGAUUGUAUAACAGCCAGGCCUUCGCCAAAAACAUUGUGGACACCUCAGAAAGCUGAACAAAAUCAACCCUCUUCAUUGAGCAAGCGGAACAGAAGGGCAAUGACUACUGGAACCUCCAUGUGGUCCUCUCGAGACUGAGGAGUCUCAGAGCAGUCCUUCCUGGCAACAAUCCUCAUUUGGACCGGCUCACAUCUAACGCUGGCCCGUUGACAAUAACUAAGAUUAAAGCAAUCUUAACUGUCUGUCU